rnacentral:rRNA from 1 species
GGUUAAGCGACUAAGCGUACACGGUGGAUGCCCUGGCAGUCAGAGGCGAUGAAGGACGUGCUAAUCUGCGAUAAGCGUCGGUAAGGUGAUAUGAACCGUUAUAACCGGCGAUUUCCGAAUGGGGAAACCCAGUGUGAUUCGUCACACUAUCAUUAACUGAAUCCAUAGGUUAAUGAGGCGAACCGGGGGAACUGAAACAUCUAAGUACCCCGAGGAAAAGAAAUCAACCGAGAUUCCCCCAGUAGCGGCGAGCGAACGGGGAGGAGCCCAGAGCCUGAAUCAGU